rnacentral:rRNA from 1 species
CAGUAGCCACGGUAAUACAGAGGGUGCGAGCGUUAAUCGGAUUUACUGGGCGUAAAGCGUGUGUAGGUUGUUGUUCAAGUCAGUUGUGAAAUCCCUGGGCUCAACCUGGGAACUGCUUCUGAGACUGAACGACUAGAGUACGGUAAAGGGUGGUGGAAUUUCCGGUGUAGCGGUGAAAUGCGUAGAUAUCGGAAGGAACAUCAAUGGCGAAGGCAGCCACCUGGGCCUGUACUGACACUGAGACACGAAAGCGUGGGGAUCAAACAGGAUUAGAUACCCGCGUAGUCCCUGUCUCUUAUAC